UCUUUUGAUUGAAUGCCAACUGAUGGAAGUGUUUAGGUUCAACACUGGCAAAUUUAAAGGAAAUUAUGUUAUCAUCAAUAACAAUAAUUGAACUUUAUGCUUUUAGAUCAAACCAACUUGUUGAUGUUCCCUAAUGAUAUGCUGACACGAAUUUGCAGGUGAAAAAAAGGCUGCUUGAUAAGUUCAUGGGCAACUGACUAGUUUCCAACUGUUCAGAAUUUGUAGAGACACUUUCUAACCCACCACGAUAUUCUUGGUAAUUUCUCCUUGUGAUUGCCACGCGGAGUGCAUUACGAACAGAUGGCUCGAUUAUGAUACUGAUCAAGAACAUAAUCAAAGAAGAUUCUGGUAGGGAAAACCUAUGAUGAUUGAGACAAGAUUCCAUUAAAGAAUGGAAGUGAUGUCUAUCCAUUUCCAUGAAUCACUUGCAUCUUCUUUUUCCUUGUAUUAUUUUAAUCUAAGAUUAGCUUUUAAACAAUUAUAUAAUAUAUGAUUUGAAUGAGUAGCUAUC